rnacentral:misc_RNA from 1 species
GAUGAAGAACGUAGCGAAAUGCGAUAAGUAAUGUGAAUUGCAGAAUUCAGUGAAUCAUCGAAUCUUUGAACGCACAUUGCGCCCCUUGGUAUUCCGAGGGGCAUGCCUGUUCGAGCGUCAUAUUAACCACUCCCGCUUGCGGGGUCUUGGGCUUCGCCUCCGGGCGGGCCUUAAAAUCAGUGGCGGUGCCGUCGGGCUCUACGCGUAGUAAAUUUUCUCGCGAUAGGGUCCCGGUGGAUGCUUGCCAACAACCCCCAACUUCUUAAGGUUGACCUCGGAUCAGGUAGGGAUACCCGCUGAACUUAAGCAUAUCAAUAAGCGGAGGC